CGUAGUGAGACAACGGAGCCGUUUACGGCGACGGCCCGAAGGGCGAGGCGAAGCCGAGUCAUCCUGCACGACCCACCA
rnacentral:sRNA from 1 species